rnacentral:rRNA from 1 species
GACGAACGCUGGCGGCGUGCCUAAUACAUGCAAGUAGAACGCUGAAGGAGGAGCUUGCUCUUCUGGAUGAGUUGCGAACGGGUGAGUAACGCGUAGGUAACCUGCCUGGUAGCGGGGGAUAACUAUUGGAAACGAUAGCUAAUACCGCAUAAGAGUAGAUGUUGCAUGACAUUUGCUUAAAAGGUGCAAUUGCAUCACUACCAGAUGGACCUGCGUUGUAUUAGCUAGUUGGUGGGGUAACGGCUCACCAAGGCGACGAUACAUAGCCGACCUGAGAGGGUGAUCGGCCACACUGGGACUGAGACACGGCCCAGACUCCUACGGGAGGCAGCAGUAGGGAAUCUUCGGCAAUGGACGGAAGUCUGAACGAGCAACGCCGCGUGAGUGAAGAAGGUUUUCGGAUCGUAAAGCUCUGUUGUAAGAGAAGAACGAGUGUGAGAGUGGAAAGUUCACACUGUGACGGUAUCUUACCAGAAAGGGACGGCUAACUACGUG